rnacentral:lncRNA from 1 species
GGGACCCGACUGCUUUUCCCGCGGCACCGCUCGGUAUGGAGAGCCCCGCCUGCAGCCUGGGCUUUCUGCGGCUCUUCCUGCCCGUUUGCAGGUUGCAGACAAAACCCACGCUCAAGUGGAGGCGUCCUGAGUUUUCACCAGGGCCUGUCGCAGGGCCUCCAGGAAGCCAGUGGCCGGACCUCAGAGUCACACAGUGAUAGACUUGGACCUCCGUGGUUAUCACCAAAAGGAGGUUUCCAACACACUGUCACACUGGAUAUUAUGAAAUACUCCAAAAAUAAGAAGAGAGGUCACUAAAACUGUGUGUCAAAGAGGAAGUAUCCAGGCAAUGGGGACAAAUCACAGCAGUCAUCUCAGAAAUCAGAGGGAGGCAUGGCCUGCCACCACCAGGGAUCUGUGAAUGGACUCCACCUGCGGCCCCAGUCCCUCUCAGAGAACGGCCAAGAAGAGGCACUGCAGCCGAGCACCACCCGUUGUUGCUGUCACUCCCCUGGGAACACACCCGCCCUGCUGUUACCACUGCCAAAUGCUCCAGGCACCACCUACAGAUGCAGAUCACUGUCACUUCCCAGGGCCCUGCAACUAGGAGUAGCCUGUGCAACACCUCAUGCAUGGGCUAAGCAGGACAGGAUGCUUCUUGUGUGGGCUGCAGGUGGUGGGGGCCAACCACUGCAGUUAUCUCUGUCUCCAGAGGUAGGCGUGGCCCACCACCACUAGGAGUCCGUGAACAGGCACCAUUUGUGGCUCCAGUCACCACAGAGGGCACCACAGAGGAGGGCAUUGUGACUGAACACCACCCGUUCCUACUCUCACUCCUCCGGGAACUCACACACCAUGUCGCUGCCACUGCCCAAUGCUCUGGGCACUGCCUAAAUCUGCCUGAGGCUCAUUACCAGGUCCUAGGGCCCUGAACUAGGAGUAGCUGGCACCACCUUCUGGAACGUUCUUGCUACUGUGAAGAAGCCAGCAACUACGUACUGACUACUAGCUGUGCCCAUUGCCUCCUUCUCCCUGGAAACACAAGCAGCACCCUAUCAAGGGGAUAAGAACCUGCUCACACUGGGGAAAGAGUCAGCAAAUAUCCAAACUCCCACACCAAAAAUAAAGAGUAAUCCCCCCCCCCAAAAAAAAAGGGGUGCUCUUACAUAGAAAUAGCCCUCCAACACUACAGUAGUUGGUUUCCCUAAAGUCACAGAAGAGGAAGAAUAUAAGCAAAAUGAAGACGCUCAGGAACCAUUCCCAGUUAAAAGAACAGGAGAAUUCACCCGAAAGAGCAAACAAUGAAACAGACUAAAGCAGUCUAGCAGAUACUGAGUUCAAAAAUUAGGUGGUGAAAAUACUGAAGUAAUUAAGAGUGAAUAUGAAGGAAUUAAGAGCAGAUAUGAACAGUAGUGCAGAUUAUUUUAGAAAAGAACUACAAAAUAUUGGAAAGAGCCAAGAAAAAUUAUAAAAUGCAUUUUCAGAGACAUGAGCUGAGUUAAAGGCAUUAAAGAGCAGAAUGAAUAAUGCAGAGGAAUGAAUUAGUGACUUGGAAGAUAGAAUAAUGGAAAUCACCCAAUCAGGACAGCAGGCAGAAAACUAAGUGAAAAAACAUGAAAGCAAUAUGAGGUCUAUGGGAUAAUAUAAAGUGGGCCAAUCUAUACAUAAUAGGGAUUCCAGAAGGAGAAGAAAAAGAAAAGGGGAUUGAAAAUAUAUUUGAAGAAAUUAUGUCUGAAAACGUUCCAAAUCUAAAGGAAACAGCUAUAAAGGUACAGGAAGUACAGAGGGCCCCAAACAAGGUGAAGCCAAACAGGCCCACACCAAGGCAUAUUAUAAUGAAAAUGGCAAAAGUUAAAGAUAGAGAGGAUUCUAAAGGUAGCAAGAGAAAAACAAAGCAUUAAUUAUAAAGGAACCCCCGUAAGACUAUCUGCUGAUUUCUCUACAGAAAUACUACAGACCAGAAGAGAGUAGCAAGAUACAUUCAUAGUUCUAAAAGGGAAAAAUUCGGUCUUCCCAUUUGGCUGACAACAUAAAACGGAAAAAUUUGCAGCCUGGAAUACUCUACCCAGCAAGAAUACUAUUUAACAUAGAAGGAGAAAUAAAGAUUUUCUCCAACAAACGAAAACUAAAAGAGCACAGCAAUACUAAACCCAUUCUAAAGGAAAUGCUGAAAGGGCUUCUCUAAAUAAGAAGUAAGAAGAAACAGGAUGGAGGAAAUCGCAAUUGGAAAGCAAUCACUUAA